rnacentral:rRNA from 1 species
UACGGAGGGUGCAAGCGUUAAUCGGAAUUACUGGGCGUAAAGAGUGCGUAGGUGGUUGAUUAAGUUAUCUGUGAAAUUCCUGGGCUCAACCUGGGACGGUCAGAUAAUACUGGUUAACUCGAGUAUGGGAGAGGGUAGUGGAAUUUCCGGUGUAGCGGUGAAAUGCGUAGAGAUCAGAAGGAACACCAGUGGCGAAGGCGGCUACCUGGCCUAAUACUGACACUGAGGCACGAAAGCGUGGGGAUCAAACAGG